ACGACGUCGACGCCUCUGUAAUUGGAAGCAGUCAGAAGAGAGCAUCCACAAUGGUACAAUAUAAGUGCAGAUCUGAACCAGACGAACCUAUGGCAUCAACUCAUUCUCGACCUCGCUUUUAUCGCUCUCGCCACUUUCAAGGGUUUGGAGGAUAGAUCUUCGGGAGUAUUUGAGCGGCAUUAGGAUUUGAGAUUGCUUUAAAUGUUUCAAGGUGUAAAUUAAGGGAAAACUGGGAGGAUGCAAAUCCUGCUUCUUGGGGAUCAAGUCCGCAAUAUCGGCCUGGAAGUCCUCCUCGAGAACAUAUGAUGCCCCUACUCCAGUAGGCUGGGCUUCAACUCCUGGUGGCAAUUAUAAUGAUCCUGAGGCCCCUAGAGAUGUACGCAGCCCACGACACCAAGCUCUGUAUCGUAUUUCUUGGUACUCUUGGUGGGUAACCGAUAACUCCUGGAGGCGGUGGCCUUGAUAUGAUGUCUCCUAUGAUAGGUUAUUGAUUAGGCGACCUAGUAGAAGAGUUUUAAAGAAGACAAUAAAGGACUAAGGUGUAUAAGUAAAAUCCACAGUCAACCUUCUGAGAACCGUAUAGAGGCUUGCAGAUCAUUUUACAUGACUCCUUGUCGUUCAGCAUUCGAUUGCUCUAGGUAACACGUCUACAGAGAAAAUCCAGGCUCAUAUGGUAGUUGGAGCAAGAAGUGAACCUUCUAAGAGAUGAAAAAACAACAAAGGAGGACAUUAGCUGAUGGAAGAAAGUUUGAUGGAAGGAGCCAAGGAGGGGUUCUGGACUUCUGGUGGAUAGUUGAGCAUAUGCUUGUGCCCACAUUGAUAAUAAGUAAUAAGUAUUGUU